GAAGGUUACUUAUAUUAAUCCGCGGUCGGCGGAGUUCGGCGGAAUCGAUCGAAAAGAACACGAGGGUAAAAUCAGGACGUAGUUUCUUCUUGGAAAAUUUAAUUGACGGUCAACGAGCUGGCGGAAAAUGAACAUCUUUUGCCGAUUUAAUAGACAGAAAGAGAGGCAUCGCGUAAACGCCCAUUCGUCGCCAUUGGUUCGUAACCUUUCGUGUUUGUGACCGCUGGCUUCCUACUGACUACCAACGUGACGCGAAUGUUCGAUACACGAAUAAGCUUCACCUUCUUCGACGAUGCUGCCUCUUUCGUUUUUCGUGCAGUGCGCAUGGGUAUACCUGGAAGGAAGUACGCCGGCAGCCGGAGCAAGUGCGUAAAAGGGGGUGCAUCGGGUGCACAGGAUGCGCCUCGAGCGCAGUGGAAGGGUCGCCACAAGUAUCCAGUGUUGGUGUUGUCCGCGACUUCGAUCGCGCACCAUCAUGAUAUGUACCAGAAAGUACGGGAGAUAGGUUCGAUGAGUACAUCGAUGGAGAUAGCGACAUUGAGCUUUCGUUCGAGAGACGUCGGUUGUUCUAAGCAGAAAUAAAGACAACGCGAUCGUGGUGGUGGUGCUGGUUCGCGAUAUUGGCUCAAUUGCGACGUUUCGUUUUUCAAUAAUUCGGCUUCACCGACGAUUAAAUGGAAGGACCGAGGGUAAAUGAAAAACGCGAUCCAUUAAAUAACGCCCACUCGAACGGUUACCCUUCGCUUGCUGUCCUUUCGAAUCAGUUACGAGGACGCGCGGUGAAGUGCCUGACGCACGAAGAAGUCUUAGCCACGGUAAACGCGGUAUGCGAGCACGGGAGCAGCGAUUAAAGUGGACAGUGAACGAGUCGUCUUGACGAGAGGAAGAAAUACAGUCAUCCGACGACGAGUACGCGUGUAGCAUAUCCGUCUUCUGUAGCCGGCGCAAAGAAUACCAACCAAAGGACGAGGACGAGGAUGAGAACGAGCAGAGGACGGGGGGGAAAAAGAGCGUUCGAAAGAGCUUGUGUGACGUUUGCAGGGGUCAGUCAUAGGGAAGGGGCGCAAGCGCAGUUAUGUUCGUGAGACUCGCGAAGCACAUGGUCGCCCUGACUCCUGUUCCACGGUCCUGUCUCGACUUCCUAUCUUUCCUCUGGGUUUGAACCGUGUAAAUAAUUACUUUGCUUAGUCGCAGCUCUAUUUACAACAGUGUUUGUUUAUCUUAGACGGGCUACCGUGACGAAAGGGACGCCUCGAGGAAUAAUCCUUCGAAUUCCAUUUAGAAAACGCGAUGGCCAAGGAUCGUUGUUUAUUCAAAGUUCGAUUAGAUCGUUGUAUUCUUAGACAAGGUUACGAGGUUUGUAAGUAAACACGUUGUUCGGAACUCAAUGACGAGUAAUCAGUGAAUGACACUUGUUUUGAGAGUGGGGAACGCGCAAAAGGAUCCAUCGGGACUUUGAUCGAAGUGGUUUAUAUUAAGUGUUUGGAGAGAAUGUUCUUCGAAGAAGCGAGAGAAGAGAAAAGGAGCAACAAUCGUUGAAGAGUAGAUGGUCGUUCAGUGCAUAAACCCGAUAGAUGUUGUGACGUUAUAAAUAUAGAGCGCUAAUGGAAACGCACUACGCUGCCCCUUGGCUUCGAGGAAAAAUAAAUAGAGUUAUGGAAUACACCGUCGCUCUCUUUGACCCAAUGUCUUUUCCAGAAGGUUAUCCAGUUAUAAAAAUACUUCAUUCUUGAAAUAAGGGACACUACAGACGUACGAAAAAAAUUCGUGCAAGAAGAGAACAUCUUAAAUUUCCAAAAACCAAGGGAUGCAAUAUUUAUUGCAUAUAUCUAACUUUUGAAAAGUAGAAAGGUCAAAUUAACGGGUGUAUUUUCAAGAAAAUAGAGAGGCAAACUUCGUUUACCCGCCCCCCUCCAAAAAAAAAGAUGAUUCAGCCGAAGAAUCAUGCCGUAGGAGUUAUGGGAAGUCGCAAACUAAACGUCCUUGACCCAGGGCAAACAGUCAUCAAUGAAGUCUCCUUGUGGCGGUACAACUCGUAAAUAAACAUUAUCGUUUCUUAAGAUUUAUGGAUGAACUUUGCGAUAUUGAAAAAAAACCGUAGUGGUGCUGUAGUGAUCUAUUAUUGAACAUUCGCGUGUUGACUGUAAUAGAGUGCAGUGUCCUAAGACCACAAGAUCGGAGUUCAUCGAUCGAAACCAAGGGUGAGUAAACUGAUAUACGCCUGUUGAUCUUCGUAAUCGUUCACCGAAUUGCUAAAUAAUUUUCUUUAAUCUAUUUUUAUUGUUAUAUACGAUACUUCGUUUAUUAUGUAGAUAGGUGACCAUAAUUAGUUUAACUAUCUACAUAGCGACGUUUUAUUCUUCGAGUAACUGUCUGUUACAGCGAGUUGUAUCAAAAAUUCGAAAUUAAUUCACGUAUACGACAUCGCUUAAAACUUCGACCAAUAAAACAAUAAAUACAUUGUAAUGGUAGGUGAAAUCGUUGGUUGAUUGUACGAUAUACGCAUAGAACUCAUUAAACAAGUGAGCUGGUUAGAUAUUACGUCUGUUGCACCACUUAUACCUUUCAUACCACUUAACCCUGACCUACCAUCGGUGGCUUACAGUUUUAUAGUGGUUCGAUCAGAAAUGGACAAUUAAUACCCAUAUAAUUAAUAAUUUCAGCAUACGCACGUACAAUGCCCAUUCAAUCUACUUGCAGCGAUACGAUGUAAUUAUAUAAUAUGGACAGAUAUUAAACAAACAUUCGAUGAGAUUAGAUUUUCUACGCGUGCA